CGUCUUUCAGGGCCAUGGAGAGCCGCCCUUCGAAGGCAGAAGACGAAGAAGAGGGAAUCCUGACAUCUUGGCGUGAUGUCUGGGUGCAGCUUGGUGUGCGCCCGUUGCCUAGUUUUGCCUUUCUCCUCCAUAUUGGAAUUACUCCCUGAAUCUGUACAAGCAACGAGGAGAUGGAGAGACUGUUUCCAGUGAAAAUUCAGUUCCUCUGACUUAAGUCUUCCAGACACUUUAUUUAAUGGAGAGAUCUACAAGUAAGGAGCAAACAUUCCAGUUGCCUCACCUUUGGGCUCCUGUGUGUGUCAGCCAGAUAAGUGUACAAAUACAUGUACUAGCCUAAAAGCGAACUGGAUAUUCAGUAUCUCUGUUUCAUCUAAUGUUUUUUUUCUGUUUAGCAUAUUGGACUCAUCGGAUAAUCUGCAGAAUCGUCCAGCCCUUUGGAUAGACCAGUUUCUGGGUCAUUGGUUUAUUGACAGAAAAAUAGGUCAAGACCUGAGAACAUAUGUCACAGCUCACAUUAAAAUUCAAGUUAUCUGACUCUGUCCAGAUAGACUUAUCUUUCUCUUACUGAGUUUGUCUGAAAAAUUAUGUAGCAUCAUGCCCCUUAAUAAGACCAUUUCCUAUUUUAUUUUUUAUAAAGCUAAGGAGACAACUAAUGAAUUGCUGACAUCUGUAAUGAAUAAACAGACAGUUAUUCACAGAACACAUAGAAAUUUCUGUUCAACAGCAUUUCACUUUUUGUGUACUGGCAUUAGCUAAGCACUGACAACGUAUGCCUGACCAGAUGAGAACUGACGUCUGUCUUGAUCCUAAUCUAGCUGCUGUCUAGCCUGAGACAAUGAAAACAAUUUACCUCAUCAAUUCUUUAGCAUAAAAAUCCAUACAGGAGAAAAUGGGACUAGCCAGAUAACUUUAAAGUAGUAUAAUCCUAUUCUCUUACUCAGACAGUUUACAGAUUCACUUUGUAUAAUUUGAUAUAGAGUUGAUGAAAACUAUUUGCACAUUCUUAAGUCCUGUUUGUCAUCUUUGAGGUUUAUUCUUUCUGCAAGUAACAAUAUUAUUUCUAUGACUUUUGCAUUUGAGAGCUAAAUUUUGUCUGAGGCAAUCAGCUACGAUUUUCUAGAACUUGAUUAUUAUGAGAUUUAAGGAGUCACUAUAUUUUCUUCUUUGUAACUAAAUUUGUUGUACCGACAUACACACUGCUGCACUGUAUCUACUCACGCAAUUUAUAGUGCAGGUUUAUUUCCUAAAAUAUGCUAUGAAUAUUAUAGGUCUUGCACUGAAGGCAAAUAACAAAGCAUCAUGGAAAAAGCAUGCGAAAUGCAAAAGAAAUAGGAUAAUGAUAGGUGUGUUCUAUAGAAAAUUCAAGGUUUUUUUCCAUUUAUUAUAUCUACUGUGAACAUUUUAUUAAAAUAUAUGUAUAUAUAAGAUUAAUAGAUUACUGUUUGUAUUUUACUUAACUCACUGGUACUCAAUGUAAGAAAGAUAACUAGACAAGAAAAGGGAUUACUUGGAAAAUAUGGAAACUAAGCAGGACAGAUGAUUAAAAAAAAAAAAAAAAAAAAAAAAUAAUAAAAAAAAAAGGAUGAGGAAUAAGAAGCACAGAGAAUACUGUUGGGAGGUCAGCAAUUAAUGAAGGGCUGGAAAUUAAAAAGGCAUGUUCACAUACAAGGUUUCAAAGUCUCCAGCUCUGCAGGAAGAUUUAAUAGUCCUCCUGGAUAAUUCUUUUUUGAAUCUAAUAGGUAGGUUCAAAAAAGGCAACAUAAAUUUUGCUGCUUGGCCUACUAAAGGCUACUUUGUCAGAGCUUUUCAGCUGUUGCACUGUUUUCAGACUGUGCAGGUUCUCCACCCUUGCCCUGAGUAACUUUGUGUCUUCCAUUAGAUAAAUAAGUUUCACUGAUAUAUUAGCAUCUUGCCAUAAUUACUGUAUCUAUGAUAGUGGGUUUGUACCUCUUCAACUCUGGCCUUAGUCUGUUUCAAAAAAAAGUAACUGAAUCACUUAUAUGGUUGUCAUUAAUCUGAAUUCAGUUCUAAAUAAUUUUGUAAUGUAAUAAUUUAUUGUCUAAUGUGAGGAACAAUUGCACAUGUUCCUUUUCUUGCAUGCUUGUCAUGAAUACAUUUGUAAACUGCAACAUGAAGUACGAUCUGAAUUAGAAUAUUGAUUUUGAUGGUAUUAAUAAAUACAGUUGACACUGGCAACAGGAUUUAUUUAACAUUUCACAUUCCCAUAUGGCUGUAGUUUUUAUAACUGUUUAAAUUGUUCAAUAGUUUUCUGUUUGUUUAACUGCUUGUUUGUAGUGGGUUUAGGGAGAAUAUUUUUAAUGUUACAUUUUUACAUUAUUUUUAUUAUAGAGACCUCUGGUGGUCUUUGAGUAUAUUUACAAAUUAUAUAUAUAUAUAUAUAAAUGAUGAAGGCAUGAAAUAUAUAUAUACGCAAAUAUAUAUACAUACACAUACAAAUUUUAUAUAUAUUAUAUAUAAAAAUUAUAUAUAAAAAAUAUAUAUUAUUCCUGUCUUCAUCAUUUAUAGUGCAAUCAUAAAAAAAGUUUAAAGACACUUUGAAGUGAUUUAUGCAUCAUUAACAGUUGUUGCACUUCAGUUGAGUGGUUUUCACACCUGAAUUUCAGUUUUGCUUAAUUCAUUGUUUUUCUGCAUGUUGCAACAGCAAUUUGAUAUAGUAUAUAGUUUGCACUUCCAGAGCUACAGCAAGCUGUCUUUUAAGCAAGAUUACAAGAUACAACUUUAUUGUACUUUAGUUUUCACUCUCUGCUGUCUGCCAGAAAACUUGCCUAUCACCCUGGCUAUACAAAUAAAACAGGUUUGUGGUGUUUUGGAGAUGCACAGUAAAAGAAAAGGAAGUUAUUUAAUACAGCUUUCUCCCCAGCUUGGUCACACCUUUUUCUAGAUCUAGGGGGAAAGAACAAAAAAAAAAAAAA